rnacentral:rRNA from 1 species
UACAGAGGGGGCAAGCGUUAUUCGGAAUUAUUGGGCGUAAAGGGCUCGUAGGUGGCCAACUAAGUCACACGUGAAAUCCCUCGGCUUAACCGGGGAACUGCGUUUGAUACUGGAUGGCUUGAGUUUGGGAGAGGGAUGCGGAAUUCCAGGUGUAGCGGUGAAAUGCGUAGAUAUCUGGAGGAACACCGGUGGCGAAGGCGGCAUCCUGGACCAAUACUGACGCUGAGGAGCGAAAGCCAGGGGAGCAAACGGG